GAAGAGGAAACUCUUGACAAAACCAAUGUCUGUAACCUUCCCCGGGUAGGGUAAAAGCCUGGGCUUCCUCCACCUUCUGGGCGACUUUAAAAACAAUUCCUGAAAGCUGGAGAGUGGCUCAGCGGUUAACAGCAUUUGCUGCUCUCGCAGAGGACUAGGUCCGAUUCCUAGAAUCCCAUGGCAGCGCAUAACGGUCCGAAACUCCAAUCAUACGGAGUCUGAACAGGCAAGCAUGUGGUUCACAUCUACACAGGUGUGAAUACGUGUGCCCAUGAGUGUAGGCGUCCAUGGAGACCAGAGGUAUUGGAUACCCGGAGCUGACGUGGAUACUUAGAACCAAUGUCAGGUCCUCUGCAUAAGCUGUACAUACUUGUAACUGCUGAGCCACCUUUCCAGCCCCAAGGAAAAGAACAGUUGUUUCUUGGAAGUUCCCCUUUGUCUCUGGAAGCAUUUUGUCCUGCUGGAGAAUGAAAGAAUUCAUUGAUUUCCGUGGUGUAACUGUGAGCUGGUGGGAUCUGGACCAGUGAUUUGGUCACGGUUGUAAAGAAGAAUAGCUGGGAUGACUAACACCUGCCACCAUUCUCAGUGGAGAUAAUGCUGAAAACUGCCAAGGGAUAAUCAAGAGAAGACUGACCCUCCCUUCUCCUCCCAAAAGAUGUGUAAGUACUGUAUAGAGUUCUCUACCUAUAGAUGUGUAUGUAGAGUUCUCUACCUAUAGAUGUGCAUGUAGAGUUCUCUGUACCUAUAGAUGUGCAUGUCGUGUAUAGCAUUCUCUACCUUAGAUCUGUAUAUUCACUUUUCGUUUCUCCAUUAUUUUAAACUACUUUUUGGCUAAAUCUUUAUGUCUGAACAGGACAUAUGGUCUUCUCGUCCCUUUCCAUAUAAUGCCUCAAGCAGUAUUCACUGCUUGCCCCCUGGGGACUCUCACUGAGUUUCUACCCUCACUCUCUCCUUAGAUUCUUUCAGGUGGAAAGUCUCACCCUCUUUCUCUUUGGAGCCUUUACAAAAAUAAGAAAACAGUCCGCUGUGAAAGAAACACUGUGCUUCCUAUGGGAAGCACACAGGAGUGUUAAACCAGAGGGAGGGCAUCACGGUGCAGAACAGGAGGGAGUGAGAGACAAACAUUGGGAGGGCACAUUGUUGAUUUAAUGCCAGUUCAUGGAAGCCAAUCCGGAGCAGUAGUUCUCAGCCUUUGUGGUGCCAAGACCCUUUAAUACA